GGUUUCAGUUAAAAAUGAAAUUUUAUCGGUCCCGUCUGAUCUCGGAAGCUAAGUAGGGUCGGGCCUGGUUAGUACUGGGAUGAGAGACUACCUAGGAAUACCAGGUGCUGUAGGCA
rnacentral:rRNA from 1 species